GACGAACGCUGGCGGCGUGCUUAACACAUGCAAGUCGUGCGGUAAGGCCCUGCUUUGGUGGGUACACGAGCGGCGAACGGGUGAGUAACACGUGGGUGACCCGCCUUCAGCUUUGGGAUAAGCCUGGGAAACUGGGUCUAAUACCGGAUAUGACCUUGGGUGCAUGCCUUGGGGUGGAAAGCCUGUGUUGUUUGGCAUGGGUGGCUGGGGAUGGGCCCGCGGUCUAUCAGCUU
rnacentral:rRNA from 1 species